rnacentral:rRNA from 1 species
GAUGAACGCUGGCGGCGUGCCUAAUACAUGCAAGUCGAGCGAACGGACGAGAAGCUUGCUUCUCUGAUGUUAGCGGCGGACGGGUGAGUAACACGUGGAUAACCUACCUAUAAGACUGGGAUAACUUCGGGAAACCGGAGCUAAUACCGGAUAAUAUUUUGAACCGCAUGGUUCAAAAGUGAAAGACGGUCUUGCUGUCACUUAUAGAUGGAUCCGCGCUGCGUUAGCUAGUUGGUAAGGUAACGGCUUACCAAGGCAACGAUGCAUAGCCGACCUGAGAGGGUGAUCGGCCACACUGGAACUGAGACACGGUCCAGACUCCUACGGGAGGCAGCAGUAGGGAAUCUUCCGCAAUGGGCGAAAGCCUGACGGAGCAACGCCGCGUGAGUGAUGAAGGUCUUCGGAUCGUAAAACUCUGUUAUUAGGGAAGAACAUAUGUGUAAGUAACUGUGCACAUCUCGACGGUACCUAAUCAGAAAGCCACGGCUAACUACGUG